rnacentral:rRNA from 1 species
UACGAAGGGGGCUAGCGUUGCUCGGAAUCACUGGGCGUAAAGGGUGCGUAGGCGGGUUUUUAAGCCAGAGGGGAAAUCCUGGAGCUCAACUCCAGAACUGCCUUUGAUACUGAAAGUCUUGAGUAUGGGAGAGGUGAGUGGAACUGCGAGUGUAGAGGUGAAAUUCGUAGAUAUUCGCAAGAACACCAGUGGCGAAGGCGGCUCACUGGCCCAUUACUGACGCUGAGGCACGAAAGCGUGGGGAGCAAACAGG